rnacentral:rRNA from 1 species
AAAAUACGGAGUUUGAUCUUGGCUCAGAUUGAACGCUGGCGGCAUGCCUAACACAUGCAAGUCGAACGGUAGCAGGCCUUCGGGUGCUGACGAGUGGCGGACGGGUGAGUAAUGCGUAGGAAUCUGUCUUUUAGUGGGGGACAACCCAGGGAAACUUGGGCUAAUACCGCAUGAGCCCUGAGGGGGAAANCGGGGGGAUCUUCGGACCUCGCGCUAAGNGAAGAGCCUACGUCUGAUUAGCUAGUUGGUAGGGUAAAGGCCUACCAAGGCGACGAUCAGUAGCUGGUCUGAGAGGACGACCAGCCACACUGGGACUGAGACACGGCCCAGACUCCUACGGGAGGCAGCAGUGGGGAAUUUUUCGCAAUGGGGGCAACCCUGACGAAGCAAUGCCGCGUGGAUGAAGAAGGCCU